rnacentral:lncRNA from 1 species
GCUAGUCAACACUCUGAUAUCUUUAACUGUAACUAUCCUUUUGCAAGUUGAAUAGUUUGUAUCUAUAUCUUUCAAGUCCAAUAGUUCGGAUCUAUACAAAGUUUAGGAUAUGCAUAUAUUUUGUUUUCAGGGUAAUGAAAAAGUUAAGAAAAGAUGCAGCUCAACAUAAAUUACACUUUUAGUAACAUUUUGAGAACUCUUUCUUGCACAUUAAAAGGACCAUGGAUGUUAGAAAAGAGUGAAGAGUGAAUGAAUGGAAACACCAUAAAGAUGGGAUAGAAGAAUCAGACAAAUGUGGUCGUUUAACUGUGAUAUGCAUUUCUUAGAUUUAUGGAGUUUUUUAGAAUUGUGCAAAAUAAUAUUAUUGUGAUGCAUUUAAUUUUGUUUGUUUCAGGUCUGCUUAACGUCUGAAAAGUUCAGCCUGUAUAUUGUUUAUGAUUAACUUUACAAUUAAAUUAGGUUUUCUUUCUUGUGAUAUUAACACAUUAUGUACAUAUUCUGGUGUAUGCAGGAGUCAGUCUCCCUGAUAUCCAGCAUAUGGACAACAUGCAAUCAAGUUGUGAAGGUCUUUUGAGGAUAGGCCUAUAGUUCUCUGUUGGCCUCUGAACCUAUUCGUGGUUAGGUUUUAGAGUUUUUGCAUCGUGAAGCUUCUGAAGCAAAUGAAAGAAAGGAAGAAAGACGCUGCAUUGAAUUCUGUAGAUGUUCUAUUAUAAGAUGUAUCAGAACCCCUUAGGAUUAUGAGAUGCUGAUCUAAUCAACAUGAAGCGUAGACUUGGCUGGACUUGAAUGCUCAUGCUGAUGGAGGUCUUACUGUCCAGAUCCAGAAUCUAUAAAAUGAUGAGAAAACAACAGGUUACAGAAUAAUAGAACUAUUAUGAGCUUCUCUCACUCGGUCAUGAUUAUGCACAAAUCGUCUAUUUUUCGUCUGGAGGAAUGCAGUGACUGUACACAGGUCUCUGCGGCAUGUUAAAUGUAACAGACCUUUUCUCCUCGAGUUAUUUUGAGCAGAAAGAAAGUUGUUUAAUUUGUGUGAAUAUCAUAGCUUUAUGUGGUGAGAUAGCAUACCAGCAGGCUUUGUUAGUAUGAAAAUGUAUUUCGUUACAAUACUAUGUGAAAAAAUGGGGUAUAAUAUGUUUUCUUAUGCUGUGUAAUUGUAAAAAUAAAUGCUACCUGCAUUAUACCAGCCAACUACAAAGGAGUGUAAUAUUUACAUCCUCUGAAAUUUGGCCAGAUAAGAUUUUGUGUCAAAGAACUGCAUCAUAAUUAAGUUAAUUGUUCGAUUGGUGUGCGGCAUAUGCCUCUAAUUUUGUAGGAGCUGAAUUCUUUGCUAUUAAACUUGGGAUAUAGUCAUCUUUGUAGUGGACUGUUAUGGAUGAGAAAACCGAAGAGCAAACAAGAUUUCCGCUAUCUAUAGGCAUAAAAUUGUUGGAUAAAGAAAUGUUCAUGAAUUCAGUUGAAUUUAGAACAAUCACUUGCCCUAAUUUAUCAAUUUUUUAUUCCACUGCUCGUAUGAAUCAUGUAGCGUACAUACUUUUAUAGUUAUCCUUCGAGAUUGCUGUUAGGUUUCUUGUAAUAGGCGAUUGGAAUUCAAACUGUCGAUUGGAAAUCUUUACAUUCACACAAUUGGCACAUUGGUGGCCAUUUGAUCAAGACAUACCAAGUUUGAAAUCCGAACCAUCCAAUCUCAAUCCACCACCUGCCACAUAUGUGCUGAUCGUGUGAAUGCCGUGAAUUACCAAGUGAAUCAUUCCACCUUUGUUUUUAUACCUUGAUAUUGAAAUAUCGAACGAGUUGAAACCAAAUUUUAGACAAGAAUAAAAAAUUCAAACUAUACAACAUAAAUAUAGAUAGAUUCACAGAACCAACUGAUGAAUACAAAUAAUUGUAUUGUAAAAUAACUUUUUUAGCAAAGCCAAAAAAUCUAAAUAAAGGCGCGUGUGACGUCACAUGUGGGGUACAACACCAACAGAAGCAUAGUACUAUCAUCUCUGUUUCUUCUUCAUACUCUCAAUUCUAUUCCAUACAACAAAUUAUUGCUGCUAUUCAACCAAACCACAACAAUGUCAUUUUCAAUUAUCACUUGUAAUUUUCCAGAAACUCCCAAAUUUCAAUUACUUCCAAACCCUAAUUUCACUCCUUCAACUAAAUCAACAACAACAACAACAACAAAACUACUUCCAAACCCUAAUUUCAUUCCUUCAACUAAAUCAACGACAACAACAAAGAUAUACUCUCAAUUGCAUCAUCAAGAUGACCAACACCAACACACUACUCUUGUUUCCUCAUUCAAUAAAUUGCUCCGUCAGAACAAGCCUAAACCAGAGACAAUCGAUUUUGGCAAAAUCUUAGGUUCUCUUGCCAAGCUGAAACACUACUCAACUGUUAUUUCACUUCAUCAACAGAUGGAAUUCAACGGAAUUGAGCCAAACUUAGUCACUUUCAACAUCUUGAUCAAUUGUUUUUCUCAAUUGGGUCAAAUUUCUCUUUCAUUUGCUGUAUUUGCCACUAUUCUCAAAAAGGGUUAUCACCCAGAUGCCAUAACCUUUAAUACACUCAUCAAAGGUUUUUGUCUCAAUGGUGAGAUCCAUAAAGCAUUCAACUUUCAUCACAACUUGGUUGCACACAUAUUUCAAUUGGAUGAAAAUAGCUACGCAACUUUGAUUAAUGGGUUAUGUGAAGUUGGAGAAAUUAACAAAGCUAAGGAUAUAUUCAACACUAUGGCUAAGAAUGGAGUGCCUCCUAAGGCUCGGAGCUACAAUGUCUUGAUUAAUGGAUUUUGUAAGCUUAAAAUGGUAGAUGAGGCCGUGAAUCUCUUCAAUCAAAUGCGUGGUAGAAUAAUUAUUCCGGAUGUGGUGACUUACACUUCACUUAUUGAUGGUUUGUGUAAAUCAGGAAGAAUCGAAAAGGCUUUGGAGCUUGUUGAUGAAAUGCGUCGUAGCAAAAUUAUUCCUAAUGUGGUGACUUACACUUCACUUAUUGAUGGUUUGUGUAAAUUAGGAAGAAUCGAAAAGGCUUUGGAGCUUCUCGAUGAAAUGCAUCGUAGAAAAAUUAUUCCUGAUGUGGUGACUUACAAUUCACUUAUUGAUGGUUCGUGUAAAUCAGGAAGAAUCGAAAAGGCUUUGGAGCUUGUUGAUGAAAUGCGUCGUAGCAAAAUUAUUCCUAAUGUGGUGACUUACACUUCACUUAUUGAUGGUUCGUGUAAAUCGGGAAGAAUCGAAAAGGCUUUGGAGCUUGUUGAUGAAAUGCGUCGUAGCAAAAUUAUUCCUAAUGUGGUGACUUACAAUUCACUUAUUGAUGGUUCGUGUAAAUCGGGAAGAAUCGAAAAGGCUUUGGAGCUUGUCGGUGAAAUGCAUCGUAUCAAAAUUAUUCCUGAUGUGGUGACUUACAAUUCACUUAUUGAUGGUUUGUGUAAAUUAGGAAGAAUCGAAAAGGCUUUGGAGCUUGUCGAUGAAAUGCAUCGUAGCAAAGUUAUUCCUGAUGUGGUGACUUACAAUUCACUUAUUGAUGGUUUGUGUAAAUUAGGAAGAAUCGAAAAGGCUUUGGAGCUUGUCGAUGAAAUGCAUCGUAGCAAAAUUAUUCCUAAUGUGGUGACUUACAAUUCACUUAUUGAUGGUUUCUGUAAAUUAGGAAGAAUCGAAAAGGCUUUGGAGCUUGUCGAUGAAAUGCAUCGUAGCAAAAUUAUUCCUGAUGUGGUAACUUACAGCUCACUUAUUGAUGGUUUGUGUAAAUCAGGAAGAAUUGAAUAUGCUUUGGAGCUUGUCGAUGAAAUGCGUUGCAGAGAAGUUAUUCCGAAUGUGGUAACGUACAAUUCACUUAUUAAUUGUUUGUGCAAAUCUGGAAGAAUCAAAUAUGCAUUGGAGCUUGUCGAUGAAAUGCGUUGUAGAAAAAUUAUUCCUGAUGUGGUGACUUACAAUUCACUUAUUGAUGGUUUGUGCAAAUUGGGAAGAAUCAAAUAAGCUUUGGAGCUUGUCAAUGAAAUGCAUGAUAGAGGUCAACCGCCUGAUAUAUUUACUUACACUUCCAUAUUGGAUGCUUUGUUCAAAAACCAUCAUGUUGACGAGGCAAUUGCACUAUUAACCAAAAUUAUGGAGAAGGGUAUUCAGCCAAACAUGCAUUCUUAUCAAUGGAUUGUGUAUAGGUGGAAGAAUGGAGGAUGCAAGAAAGGUUUUUGAAGAUCUUUUGGUCAAAGGAUACGAUCUAAAUGUCUAUACAUAUACUGUUAUGAUCAAGGGAUUUUGCAACGACGGCUUGUUUGACGAAGCAUUGACCAUGGUAUCAAAAAUGGAAACCAAUGGUUGCAUUCCUAAUGAUAAAACUUAUGAAACAAUUAUUCUUUCCGUCUUUGAAAAAGGUGAAAAUGAUAAAGCAGAGAAACUUGUUCAUGAAAUGAUUGAGAGAGGUCUAUUAUAUGAUCAAAACUAGGUAAUUUUUUUACAACAUAUACACAUAUUCGGUUCGGGCUGGGCAUCGAUGGUUUCAAUUUUCAGCAACCGAGCCCGACCACAAAUGCCCAUCUAUAACUGAUUUUUUUAAACCCGAAACCCGUUCACCCGUAAUGACUCGCCAAUUUUGGUUUUCUUUCUCUCGGUUUGCUUGGUUUCAGGUGGGUCCGGUUUUUGUGCUCACCCCUAAUUAAUGAGUAGUGAGUAGUGACUAUCGAGGUAGUGAGUGUUAGAGAGAGAUGGUAGGGAAAAGUUUGUUACGUAGUUGGGUGUGGAUAUUUUCCCUAAGGAGCAUAUGCUCUGAUCGUUGAUGUUCGUGUAUGAUAAGAAGGGAUGAACACAUACUCUAGUUGUAUAUUUUUACAGGAUUGAUAAGAAAACUAAACAAAUAUUCUUUCUGUUCGAAAAAGAUGAAAACGAUAAGGUGGAAAAUCUUGUUCCUCUAUUUCGACAGCUUUGUGGAUCCCUAAAGUGGCUCAUUGUUCUCUACAAAAUCUCUUUUGCUGCAUUGUUCUUAUGUCUUCACUUUUUGGACAAAAUAUAUUCUUAGGAAAAUGGAUUGAUUAAGAUUUGGCUUGUUGAGCCUAUCUAUGGCAGACUAAAUUUCUUUUUUCUUUCUAAUAUUUUUACUCUUGCAUAAUAAUUGUAAUCUGACAAAGAUUAACUGUUUUAGAAUGAUAAACUUAAGAUUGUUUUGCUAAGACCUGAAUUGUACACAACAGGCACAAGCUUGGCAUUGCACUUAAGUGAAGUAAGUUGAGAGAAUUACUUAAAUUACUCUUGUUGUGUUAGAACUUUGUUGUGGGGUUGCUGCAAAAUAAAAAUAAGAAGAUGAUGAAGAUAAUUGAGUUGUUGGUGUUGCAUGUAUAAAACUCCAAUGCAAACAGGUUUACCGGCGAAUCCCCUUCUGAAUAUUUUAGAAACCUUGAAGAGAAUUGCACAAUCUCUCCAAGCCUAUCUUUUAUUUUAAAAAGUUACGUUUCCUUCACUUGCUCUCAUGCAUGCAUUAUAGAAGAGAAAGAUGGUUUAAUGAUUGAAAAAAUGGUAGAGGGAGAGUUAGAAUAAUCUUUAGAAUCGGAUCAUUUUCUAUCACCAAAGUGUCUCAAUUUAUAGGGAAACUUGUACCAAUCGGUGAAGAGAAGCAACUUGAUUAUGUACUAAUAAAUUCCAAAGUAUAUAUAUUAAUACUGUUCUGUUUUAUCAGAAAAGUUGCAUUGGUUCAGUGGUGAAGGGGUUUUGUACAGAAUUUGAAGGUGGGCGCAUGACUCAAACCCCAAACCCCUCAAUGAUAGCAAUAGACUCAGGGCUGGCCCAAAGCAAGUGCAACCAGCUCUAUCAAGCCGGACCUCAAAAUUUUUUGUGUCCAAUUAUCCAAUUUUGAGGGUCCAAUGUUUAGUAGUAGGUAUUAGAUAUUAGCUAAAAUGAAAAUAGUUAAUAUAAAUCUUAUGGCCAAGCAGUUAUUGUUCUGUUAUAUUAUUAAAUAACAAAUGGUCUUGGGUUCAACUCUUAUGCUGCAUAAACAACACUUUACCACUAAACCAUUACAACAUAUAUGAUUUCUAAAACUGAGUGUUACUUUGAAAGAAGAACAGAAAACAAAUUUAUCAAAAAUGAAUCUUUUCUAUGACAUAUUUUGUUACUUCUACUAGUUAUUACUCUCUCAUAUUUAUCUUAUUAUCCAUAUACUUUGUGAUAUAAGGCUUUAGCCUUGAUAUGAGCUAUUGCUUUUGACCCUAGCGAGGUAUGGAAACAUGUUGUCCAGAAAGGAGACACGGUCAUCGAUGCCACAUGCGGUAAUGGUUUUGACCCCUUAGCAUUGCUUAAUUUGGUUGCUGAUGAUGAUUCACAUAAUGGUUAUGUGUAAGCAUUGGACAUUCAGAAAGAUGCUUUAGAUAAGACUUCAUUGUUGCUGGAGGAAUCACUUAAUUGCAAUGAGGUGAGGCCUAUAAAGGAGUGAAGGUUUCAACUUUGAUUUGGUUAAGAAUUUUGAUUUGGUUAAGAAUUUUGAUUCCAUUUUUUUCUAUUUAUACAUUAAUAUUAUUUUCACUUCGUUUCAACAUCAUUUCAUUUAUGUAGCUGUUUAACCUAAUGGGUAAAAAGGCUUUAGUUAUUGUUUUUUCUUUUGUUCAGUAUUUUUAUAAUUGACAAGGUAAUGAGUAGUGACUAGAGAGAGAUGGUAGGGAAAAGUUUGUUACGUAGUUGGGUAUGGAUAUUUUCCCUAAGGAGCAUAUGCUCUGGUCGUUGAUGUUCUUGUAUGAUAAGAACGAAUAAAUACACACUCUCGUUGCAUAUUUUUACAGGAUUGGUAGUGCAUAUUAUCCAUGCUCCUCGAUGAAAAUCAAUCUUUGAAAAUGGUGCAACAAACUUGUUGGGAGACUUCUGUGUGCAUCAGUUAAAAAGACUGUUGGUGAGAGGACUCUUGGUGAUAUCAGAAAACACUACUACAGAAAAGCUCAAAAAGUUUGUCUCACUUUGAUUUUCAAUUUUUGUGUGGUUUUUUGGAUUACCACUUAACUUUUCUUGUAUUUCUGCUACCUUGUUGCGCACACCUUGUGUCAAUAUCGAGGUAAUUUAAUAUAUUAUUAACCUUUUUCCGAUUAAAAAAAUAAAAUUAAAUGUAUGCUGAUCAUGAAGAUUGUUUGCUGUAAUCUAGGUAUUGAUUCCAUUUAUGUAUUAUAUUGGCUCAAAAANNNNNNNNNNNNNNNNNNNNNNNNNNNNNNNNNNNNNNNNNNNNNNNNNNNNNNNNNNNNNNNNNNNNNNNNNNNNNNNNNNNNNNNNNNNNNNNNNNNNNNNNNNNNNNNNNNNNNNNNNNNNNNNNNNNNNNNNNNNNNNNNNNNNNNNNNNNNNNNNNNNNNNNNNNNNNNNNNCAAUAUCGAGGUAAUUUAAUAUAUUAUUAACCUUUUUCCGAUUCAAAAAAAAAUAAAUUAAAUGUAUGCUGAUCAUGAGGAUUGUUUGCUGUAAUCUAGGUAUUGAUUCCAUUUAUGUAUUAUAUUGGCUCAAAAAACAUUUGUCACCGUUACUAUUAACGCAAUUUCAUGAAAAUUUAAGUCUGAGCUCUAUCUAAAUAAGCUGCAUGCUUUUAGGCUUGUUGCCUUCAACUUAGGUUGCCUUCCGGCAGGCGACAAACAACUAAUAACAAGAUCAGAAACAACAUUACUGGCUUUGUAAGCUGCAAGAGGGCUCAUUAGUAUUGUAGUAUAUAUUGGGCACCCCGGUGGAAGGUGAUAUUUCUGAUUCUCUAUCUUUUCAAAAUAUUGCAUCUUUGUAUUGCUAAUGUCCUGAUUUUCUAUCUAUAUUUUGAAUUAUAUAUAUGAUGAAUAUCCAAGUUUCACAGGAUUCAAUGAAACUUUAGCAUGUCAAUCUGGUUGAUUACGAUAUAUUGAAUUAAUUUAAGCUUUGCUUCCGUGGAAACGGAUUCCCUACCUUUUAACCGAGUCACACAUUAGUAAACUAAGCAUUGCACAUGUGCUUCUAGCUGAACCAUUUAUUUAGUUUCUUAACAACAGUGCAUCUAGCUGAAUACACUUCUCUUUUCACAAAUGAUCUUAGAAAUUUAGUUCAGCAAAUAUACAAUAAGAUUAUUAAAAUCAAAUUAUAACUACAUAUAAUGAGUUUGUUAUUAUUCAAAUAAGCAUAUGAAAAUAUCAUCUCACCAGUGAGAAAGGCCUUUUUGAUUUUGCUAAGCUCUCUGGUGGCAUCUGCAAUAUUCAUUCUUUCUUUCGGUGAUUCCAUUGAACAAAUAAUUCCAAUCCUAAAAAGUGAAAUUAAGCACUCUUCAAUAGUUGGAAUAAGAUUCUCACGAUUUUCAUCUUGUAUUGCUACUUCUACAUCUCUUGAUACAAGAUGUCGGUCUAAAAUCUUCAUAAGAUUAUCAGGAAAUGAAAUUGCAACAAAAUUAUGCAAAUUUUGACCAUCUUCAAAAAAUUCAUCAGUAGGUCUUCUACCGGUAAGCAUUUCCAACAUUAGGAUUCCAAAGCUAUACAUGUCGGCCACAUGUGGAAACUUCAGAACCCAUUCCAUACUCUAAAACAUGUAGCAAAAGUUUUGUUAAUACUAUGUCACUAGUAAAUUAUUAUGUCUGCACCAAAACAUAGGAGAAUUAAUAGAAACACUGUAUGAUUCAAGAAUUUUGAACAUACCUGGAGGAGCAUAACCAAAAAUCCCUUUUAUUCCAAUUGUACUAGUAUCCUUCUGAGAGCUGCUGCCAAUGGCUAAGACAAGUCUUGCUAUUCCAAAAUCUAAAAUCACUCACAUGAGCAACCAUGUCAUCAUCAAUAAGGACAUUGUUUGGCUUUAGAUCACAAUGAAGGACCAAUUGCUCACAUUCUUGGUGAAGAUAAUGUAAUGCAUAAGCAACAUCGAUAAUUAUGUUUAAUCUUUGACCAAAAAUCCCUUUUAUUCCAAUUGUACUAGUUUCCUUCUGAGAGCUGCUGCCAAUGGCUAAGACAAGUCUUGCUAUUCCAAAAUCUAAAAUCACUCACAUGACCAACCAUGUCAUCAUCAACAAGGACAUUGUUUGGCUUUAGAUCACAAUGAAGGACCAAUUGCUCACAUUCUUGGUGAAGAUAAUGUAAUGCAUAAGCAACAUCGAUAAUUAUGUUUAAUCUUUGACCAAGGCCCAAUGUUGUUGGAUUCUCUUCAUUUUCAUGUAACCAUUGUUCUAAGCUUCCAUUUUUCAUGUAAUCGAAAACUAGAGCUUUGAAUUCUUUACCUUUGUACUCUGUACUAGAACAUGUUAAAACCUCAACUAAAUUUCGGUGUCUAAUAUUUUUGAGUGCAUUACAUUCAACAAUAAAACUCUUGCGAGCUCCCUUUUUUUGGAGGUUCAAAACCUUUACGGCAACAACAUGAUCUUCCGACACAUGAUUUGCUUUGUACACGGAACCAAAACCUCCUGAUCCGAUCAAGUUUGUAGGUGAGAACCCAUUUGUUCCUUGAUGCAAUUCUUUGUAUGAAACCUUAGUUAGUUGUUCAAUUGUUGGUGAAUCAAAAGAUCUUUUCUGAUUUCUUUUCCUCAUCCAGUACAUAGUUAUAAUAAAUGAAAGUAUGAGAAGAAAAGAAACAACGCUAACUAUCACUGGUAUCAACUUAAAAAGCUUUGUGAAAUACCUCCACAAAGCUUUUUGCUCUCAAUAAUUUCUGCUUGGGUUACAUUCGCAAAGACACCGUGUGUUGGUACCUCACCUUCCAACAUGUUAAAAGAAAUAUUCAAAUGUUUUAAAAAAGAGAUUGCCAAUAUGGGGAGAUCAAGAUCCAUGUAACUUAUAUCCUUCUAAGUUCAACCUUAUAACUCUUUGAUGCAUAGGGUUGCAUGUGAUUCCAUGCCACUUGCAGAAGUGGAUGGAAGAAUUCCAAGAUUCAAGAGUUUUAUAUGGAUCACUAGAUAUUGAUUCUUUGAAUUUGAGCAAUGCCACUGCUACAAAUUUGUUUGGAGCAGGGAACAUAAAAAGAAGAUGAAGGUAUAAUAGGUACAAAAGUAUAGGUGGUAAGAAAGAAAAAGGCUUCAUUUGGUUGAGUUACUAAGAAGAGGUUUAUGCUAUAUUGCUUUACUUGGGUUUGAUAAUUGUGUGGGUAGAACCAUGCAUUUAAAUACUGGUAUCAAGAAGAGAAACGAAAGAGAUUUCUACAAAAAAGAAAAAGAAAGAUUAUAUUUAAUUUAUUUCAUUAACUUUCAGAGAAGAUAAAAAAUAAUAUUAUUGUGCAAAAUAAUAUUAUUGCGAUGCAUUUAAUUUUGUUUGUUUGAGGUCUGCUUAACGUCUGAAAAGUUCAUUCUAUAUAUUGUUUAUGAUUAACUUAACAAUUAAAUUAGGUUUUCUUUGUUGUGAUAUUAACAGAUUAUGUACAUAUCUGGUGUAUGCAGGAGUCAGUCCCCCUGAUAUCCAGCAUAUUGACAGCAUGCAAUCAAGUUGUGAAGGUCUUUUGAGGACAGGCCUAUACUUCUCUGUUGACCUCUGAACCUAUUUGUGGUUAGGUUUUAGAGUUUAUGCAUCGUGCAGCUUCUGGAGCAAAUGAAAGAAAGGAAGAAAGAAAGAGGUGUGCUGCAUUGAAUUCUGUAG